rfam:Triticum urartu cultivar G1812 contig41498, whole genome shotgun sequence.
AUAGUACUCCCUCCGUCCCAAAUUAAUUGUCUUAGAUUUGUCUAGAUACGGAUGUAUCUAGACACGUUUUAGUGUUUAGAUACAUCCGUAUCUAGACAAAUCUAAGACAAGUAAUUUGGGAUGGAGGAAUUUGAAC